ACAUUGAAAAGAGAUCUUCCAGAGGUUUUCAUUGGUUUGUUAUUGUCUUUCCAGGCUCGUGGUGGAUGCACUCGAUUGUCGCUGUGGGUCUGAUUGUACUCCUGAUCACAGCUGUGGUGAUCAUCAUCAGGUGGAAAAGGACCAAAGGUUCCUGGUGGAGAUUAAGGAGAGACGGUGAUAUAUGCUGAUGAAGAAAGCUCUGUGAAUCUACGUCCCUUUCCCUUUAUCCUAGCAUUUUGUCAAACCAUACUUUUUUCAGUCACAGACUGAUGAAAACUAAUCAUGUUGUUUCAACACUGUUUAUCAUGUAAUACCAAUGUAUUGUGAAGUUUUCAGGUGAUUUUAUCAUCUCCAGUGUACCUGACUUUCAGCUGUAACUCCAAACUGUUUUCUUAAUGCUAAUAUUAUUAUAAAAUGUUACUUUGAUGGAAUUUCACUCUGUCCCUCUGUUCAUUUCAAGUCUGUCAAUACAGCUUGAUUUCCUAACUGUCCA
ensembl:lncRNA